rnacentral:lncRNA from 1 species
AGUUCAUGUAAUCUGCAAUGAAGUGUCUUUUUUUCCUGGGUUUUUCUUGCUGGUACUUGUAUGUACACACACACACACACGCGCACACACACACCAUGUACCCUCACACAUAAGCACACACAUACAUACUCACAUAGGCAUGCACACUCAUACACGCAUACAUGUACACUCACACACACUCACACACACAAUCUAAAGAAAUAGGGUCAGCCUCGUAUACGAUAAGCAGCAUUCCCAGGGGAUAGCAUCGAAGGCUGAGCCCCUGUUCUGGGCAAGAGAAUGCAAACUGAAAAACCUGUUUCCUCAGCUGGUGUCUGACAGAGCCCGUGAUCUCCCGUGGCCACGUGCAAGCACUGUGACAAAGCCGUUAUGUGGCUCAUUGCUCAUGUCCAAAGGAGCACAUGUCGUAAGGAGGCCAAAGAAAGGGCAUUGGAUCCCCUGGAGCUGAGAUUACAGGCACUUCCGGGCCGGCCAGUCUGGGUGCUGGGAGUACUUGUGAGUGGGUGCAUCUCUGUUUCACCUCCUGUUCAUUUUCAAGCUUGUCGGAAACGUGACCUUCUGGGUGAGCUUGGCUGUUCCUAGUUUUCCACUCCAUGCUCCCGGUUUGGGUGGAGUAGAGGGAGAGUCUAGCUUAGAGGAGUUGAGAUGGAGGAAUAGCUAGACUAGCAGGCAUUCAUGGGGUCUAGUGUUUCCUAUUCCAUUGUAGCUGGCUGGGGGCACCUUUAAAAGGAACAAUCCGAUUGUAUUUGUUACAUCUCAGCUAGAACCUUACAUUUGGGGGUGGGGUGCAGAAGAUGAGAAGAAUACAGAAAUUAGAUAAAAGGUAG